GCCAGGCAUGGUGGCUCACACCUACUGUCCCAGCUACUCAGGGGGCUGAGGAUCGCUUGAGCCCAAGAGUUCUGGGUUGCAGUGUACUAUGCAGAUAGAUGAAGUGUCUGCAUUAAGUUUGGCAUCAAUAUGUUGAUCUUCUGGGAGUGGGGGACCACCAGGUUGCCUAAGGAGGGGCAAACUGACUUAGGUUGGAAAUGGAGCAGGACGAAACUCCUAUGCUGAGGAGUUUUGUCCUGCCCAUUGCAAUCCUUAUCUUCCUGGACUUCGCUGAACCAUUU
ensembl:misc_RNA Metazoa_SRP Metazoan signal recognition particle RNA